rnacentral:rRNA from 1 species
UUGGGAAUCUUCGGCAAUGGACGAAAGUCUGACCGAGCAACGCCGCGUGAGUGAAGAAGGUUUUCGGAUCGUAAAACUCUGUUGUUAGAGAAGAACAAGGACGUUAGUAACUGAACGUCCCCUGACGGUAUCUAACCAGACAGCCACGGCUAACUACGUGCCAGCAGCCGCGGUAAUACGUAGGUGGCAAGCGUUGUCCGGAUUUAUUGGGCGUAAAGCGAGCGCAGGCGGUUUCUUAAGUCUGAUGUGAAAGCCCCCGGCUCAACCGGGGAGGGUCAUUGGAAACUGGGAGACUUGAGUGCAGAAGAGGAGAGUGGAAGUCCAUGUGUAGCGGUGAAAUGCGUGGAUAUAUGGAGGAACACCAGUGGCGAAGGGGGCUCUCUGGUCUGUAACUGACGCUGAGGCUCGAAAGCGUGGGGAGCAAACAGG